rnacentral:lncRNA from 1 species
UCCAGACAAUGAGGCUCCCUCAGGUAGUGGCUGCAGUUGGCAUAUAAAUGGCAUCCUUGCCAGAUCAGCCCCAAUCUGCUGUCUGUGUGUUUCAUAGGGAAACCAGCUCUGUGCCUGCCUGCACAGUUCAGGUUGAAGCAGGACUACUGACGUAGAAGCCAUGGCAGCAGACUUCUGCCCGGGGCGUGGAAUGAGUACAUUCUUCCCUGUCAAGUCCUGGGAAUUAUUUUCCACCAUGAGCACAGUGCUCUUUUUAGCUUUGCAUCACUGAGUAACUGUCAGGAGACAAGCGCUAUGACAAGAAAAAUCCAUCCUUAAAACCGUCUGUUUAUUUGUACCCAAAGACAUGUUGUUGAGGUUAGAGGUUGGUGUAAAAUCUUCUGAUAUAUAGGUGCAUAUACAUACAUACACACACAGACACAUGCACAAGCUAGAAAAGUUCUUGCUUACUAAUUUAAAGAAGACUAUAACUAUAUUUACAUUAGGGUCUAACAUAGGGACUUAUUUCUUUUAACAAAUAUAGGCUGGAUAAGAAUUAUAACUAAGUUGGUAAUGCAACUCUAAUUGAGGGAAUUAAAUUAUUAUACCUAAUAAAAAUCACAGCACUCAUUUUUACUUUAUCCAUAGUAACUACAAUGGGAGGGAUAGAGUGGGAAUUUUUUUAUUUAUGAAUGAAUAUAUUUGCAUGGAUUACAAGUUGAGAAAUAACUCCAAUUUGAUGUUAAAUAUCAAUGAAAACAACCAUAAAGGUUUCACAAAAGUGUGCUAGAAUUAAUGAACUUGAAAAAUAAUUCAACUAAUCAGCAGUUUGAUGGGUUUAGAGCAAAAAUUAGAGAAAUGGAAGAAAGGGUAAAACUAUUGGAAAAACACAGUAGGGAAUGUAAGUAGAGUGUGAAAACUGCUGCGGAACAGAUUGCUGUUAUAAUUAGAGACAAUAUUUCACUCUCCUUUAAAUACAAGUCCCUGGAAAUUGCUCUGAGUGAAAGAGGGGGAGGCACAGCUGUUUGAGUGUACAGCUGGUGGGAAUGACAAAGACUAUAGUCAGACGUAAACCAGUUAAAAAAAUAGACUAGCUAAGUAACAGUAACACCUGGCUUGAGCAUAAUGACAAAUAUGCAUUAUUCUUAAGGAAAUAAAACAUAGAGGGUUUUUAUGGAGAAUACAAAAAUUUCUACCUGGUAAUAAAUAUGUUUCAUGCAUAUAAGAAUCUCUACAACUAGUGGCUCACGCCUGUAAUCCCAGCACUUUGGGAGGCCAAGGCGGGUGGAUCACCUGAGGUCAGCAGUUCGAGACCAGCCUGG